CGAAAGCCUGACGGAGCAACGCCGCGUGUGGGAAGAAGGCUCUUGGGCUGUCAACCACUUUUCUCAGGGAAGAAGUCCUGACGGUACCUGAGGAAUCAGCCUCGGCUAACUCCGUGCCAGCAGCCGCGGUAAGACGGAGGAUGCAAGCGUUAUCCGGAAUUAUUGGGCGUAAAGCGUCCGCAGGUGGCUAGUCAAGUCUGCUGUCAAAGACCAGGGCUUAACCCUGGGCCGGCAGUGGAAACUGGUUAGCUGGAGUACGGUAGGGGUAGAGGGAAUUCCUGGUGUAGCGGUGAAAUGCGUAGAUAUCGGGAAGAACACCAGUGGCGAAGGCGCUCUACUGGGCCGCGACUGACGCUGAGGGACGAAAGCUAGGGGAGCG
rnacentral:rRNA from 1 species